UCUAUAAAAAUUUCAAAAUAAAGUAUCUAAUUUACCCUUCUGCUUUUAAAACCCCUAAACGACGUCUACUCAUCCGUUUAUUCCCUAAAUCACGCCUCUAUUUUCUCUAAUUUGGCAUUCUUGAUUUUUGAAACUAGAUAUCAAUUCAAAUUUAAAAUAAACCUUCGAUUCCUAUAUACGUUUCUCUAGAAAUCACCGCUCAUCUUUUAUUAGAUGGUUUAACCAUCGGUUUUGGUUUUGGGUGUUUGGAAGAUUAAUUUCCUUUUUAUGUUUGUGAUUCUUGCAUAAUUGUCUACAUAUUUGGGCUUGAGGAAGAAAGUGAAAGACUCAGUUCGUUUUCUUCAGUUAGAUCAUCAACAACAUGCUUGGUACUUCCUUGGGGCUUCAAAUGGUGAAAAAGGAAAAGAUACAACACAUUAGCAUGUAUCUCAUGCCUGGUGCAACUAGAAUAAAGAAACUUGACAAAAACAUAAGAAAUUGUAGCUAUGAAGCCACAACCAUAGAAUUUUAUCACUGCACUUUUUGAUGGUUGUUUUAGGAUUUGGUGUUAUUAUUGUUAUAUUUUGUUAAACAAUUUCCUACAGCUUUAGUCAAAAGGAUGACACCUUUUGUUGCGUGGUCCAUUGGGAUGCAGGGGCGAUCCUCAUGUCUCUUCCUCUUGUCAGUCUUUGUAAGUUAAUUUGACAAGAUUUUCAUUUUUUAUAAAAGUCAUUUCUUCACUAA